CCUACGGGUGGCUGCAGUGGGGAAUAUUGGACAAUGGGCGAAAGCCUGAUCCAGCCAUGCCGCGUGUGUGAAGAAGGCCUUCGGGUUGUAAAGCACUUUCAGUGGGGAAGAAAGCCUUGGGGCUAAUACCCUCGAGGAAGGACAUCACCCACAGAAGAAGCACCGGCUAACUCCGUGCCAGCAGCCGCGGUAAUACGGAGGGUGCGAGCGUUAAUCGGAAUUACUGGGCGUAAAGCGCGCGUAGGCGGUCUGAUAAGCCGGUUGUGAAAGCCCCGGGCUCAACCUGGGAACGGCAUCCGGAACUGUCAGGCUAGAGAGCAGGAGAGGAAGGUAGAAUUCCCGGUGUAGCGGUGAAAUGCGUAGAGAUCGGGAGGAAUACCAGUGGCGAAGGCGGCCUUCUGGACUGACACUGACGCUGAGGUGCGAAAGCGUGGGUAGCAAACAGGAUUAGAUACCCCUGUAGUC
rnacentral:rRNA from 1 species